rnacentral:rRNA from 1 species
AUUGAACGCUGGCGGCAUGCCUUACACAUGCAAGUCGAACGGCAGCACGGGUGCUUGCACCUGGUGGCGAGUGGCGAACGGGUGAGUAAUACAUCGGAACAUGUCCUGUAGUGGGGGAUAGCCCGGCGAAAGCCGGAUUAAUACCGCAUACGAUCUACGGAUGAAAGCGGGGGACCUUCGGGCCUCGCGCUAUAGGGUUGGCCGAUGGCUGAUUAGCUAGUUGGUGGGGUAAAGGCCUACCAAGGCGACGAUCAGUAGCUGGUCUGAGAGGACGACCAGCCAAACGGGGAGAGAGACGGGGCAGAGACCCAGGGGAGGCAGAAGUGGGGGAAUUUGGGGAAAGGGGGCAAGAGUGAGACAGAGAAAUCGCGUGUGUGAAGAAAGGGCUUGGGGGGUGAAAAGCAUUUGUGCGGGAAGAAAAACCUUGGCCUAAAACGGGCGGGGGAUGAGGGGAUCGGGAAAAAAAACACCCGGUAAAUACGC